rnacentral:rRNA from 1 species
CCUCGGGAGGCAGCAGUGGGGAAUAUUGGGCAAUGGAGGAAACUCUGACCCAGCGACGCCGCGUGCGGGAUGAAGGCCUUCGGGUUGUAAACCGCUUUCAGUAGGGAAGAAGCGAAAGUGACGGUACCUACAAAAGAAGCACCGGCUAACUAUGUGCCAGCAGCCGCGGUAAUACAUAGGGUGCAAGCGUUGUCCGGAAUUAUUGGGCGUAAAGAGCUCGUAGGUCGUUUGUUACGUCGGAUGUGAAAACCUGAGGCUCAACCUCAGGCCUGCAUUCGAUACGGGCAAACUAGAGUUUGGUAGGGGAGACUGGAAUUCCUGGUGUAGCGGUGGAAUGCGCAGAUAUCAGGAGGAACACCAAUGGCGAAGGCAGGUCUCUGGGCCAAUACUGACACUGAGGAGCGAAAGUCUGGGGAGCGAACAGGAUUAGAUACCCUGGUAGUCCAGACCGUAAACGGUGGGCACUAGUUGUGGGAACCUUCCACGGUUUCUGCGACGCAGCUAACGCAUUAAGUGCCCCGCCUGGGGAGUACGAUCGCAAGAUUAAAACUCAAAAGGAAUUGACGG